AAUGAACGCUGGCGAUAAGCUUAACACAUGCAAGUUGAACGCUAUUAUUUUUGUAUGAUAGAGUGGCGAACGGGUGAGUAACGCGUGAGAACCUACCCAACAAUACAGGUAAAUCCGGUAUAAAGAAAGGCAUACGCCGUUGAUGGAUGGGCUUGCGUAGGAUUAGGUAGUUGGUAAGAUAAUAGCUGUACCAAGCCCAAUAUCCUUAGCUGAUCUGAGAGGAUGAUCAGCCACACUGGGACUGAGACACGGCCCAGACGUCUUCGGGCGGCAGCAGUGAGGAAUCUUAGACAAUGGGCGAAAGCCUGAUCUAGCUAUAUCGCAUGGGUGAAGAAGGCUGAUUGGUUGUAAAACCCUUAAUUAGAAGAAGAUUAUGACAUAAUUCUAACUAGUAGUCCCGGCCAACUCUGUGCCAGCAGCCGCGGUAAAAC
rnacentral:rRNA from 1 species